rnacentral:lncRNA from 1 species
GUAAGGUUGAAUGUAUUAAAAAAAAAUAAGUUGUGAGGAUGAGAAAUAAGUUAUAAGGUUGUAAAAUAUAUUGUAAGGUUGAAAAAUAAUUUGUAAGGUUGUAAAAUAUAUUGUAACGAUGAAAAAUAAUUUGGUAGGUUGUAUAAUAUUUUGGUAAGAUUAUGGAAUAUGUAUAAAGGUUGAGAUAUGCUGUUGUUGUAGGAGGAGAGGUUGAUGGGUAAGAGUUUAGGGGUUAUAGUUUAGGGGUUAGAGGUUUGGUGUUUCGCGAAGGUGAUUUAAACAAGGCCACGCUAACUUUCGUGGCUACACGGUUAGCCUCCAAUUUAUUUGGUUUUGGCUCCACAAUUGUUUUUCAUUUCGCGGUUGAUAUUAAACCAAAGCCACUGUAAUUUCGUCGGAUUUUCGUGGCUAUGACGAAAUU